AGACCUCACGUCACAGAAACUUGCGACGUUUGCCCCCGAUUCGCGCGUCAGGUGCUCCGUCCCUUCUAGGUGGCAGAGGAGAGGGAAGGGUCCCGCCUGGUGGGGCCCUGAGAGCCAAUGGGCUGCGGUGCUCGAGUGUGGACGCCGCCCCCGCCUUCUGCGUCUACAGCCCGGGGUUCUGGGACCUUUGGAAACCGCUUUGGACAAAGCUGAGCAUCUCUUUCCCCACGCUGACCUCCCCCAUAGACUCUGGAUGGGGGUAAAUGAGGCCCCAGGAAACCGAAACAAUGAGCCAGCAGGCAAUGAAAAGGGCAGGCCCACCCCAGGCCAGCUUCAAAGUGAGUCAUCUUCCCCUUUCCUUUCCUGAGAGGUGGCCACCUUCGCCUGCUGUCCCAGCUCACACCAGACACCGUGCCCAAGUACUGGCCAGUCCCCAAAGGGCAUGGGAGAAAAGCCAUCCAUCCCUGAAAUUCACAGGGAAGGCAACCACUCGUCACCCACUUAGGAGCAUCCUGAAAGGGGAUGCAAUCAAGCCAGUUCAAUUUGGAAUUGCUUAAAAAUGUGGAUUUUAAGCAGAAUGUAAAAAGGAAUGAUUUCAGACAGUGCUAGUGAGGUUUUAUUUUUUUACUUUUUACAACUCGUAGGAAAUCCAGAAAGUUCACUCUAGAGAAGCUUGUUUGGCCAAACCUUGCUUUGGGUGGUGAAGACAGAAUAUGAUGUCCCGGAUCAGCGUGUGGUGACUUUGGAGGUAUUUACACGCAGCUCACUCCAGCUCUGCCGCUGAGCUGGCUGAGGUGGCUGCAGUACACGGGGCCCAUCCUGAAUCCCAGGUUCCUCACAUGUGAACAGCAUGAAAAGUGCCUCUAAGACAUCCACAGGUGUGCAGGGUUAGAGUGGGUGAGUGUCCUAGUGUAGACUCAGCGGAGUGGAGCUAGGGCGUGGGUAGUGGUGUUUCGCCCCUGCUUGCUACCCAGCCCUCCCUCUCCCUCAGACCUGGCCUCAGCCCUCAGGCAGACCCGUAUCUUCUCUUCCACCCCCUCCUUCCUCCUCCCUAGCACUCAGCCUUGCUCCUCUACUCUCUACCCUCCCUCCCCAGGCAGCGCCUCAGCUUCGUCAGCUCCCUUAGGUGCUGUGGAUCCCUUAGGACAAGGCUCUGUCCCUCAGAGCACUGAGCGCCAUCUAACGCUGUCCUCUUGGAGACGUUGUAUUCACCAGGUAAGAUGGAUUCAGCAUUGCACCCCAGAGUGCCUGACGCACAGCAGGGGCCACAUAAAUACAUCUGCUGGGCGCACGAACACUUCCUCCUUCCUUGCCACCAGCCAGCAUCACAACCAGCCUGGCCAGGCUCCCAGUCCAGCCCAGCCCAGCAGCUAACCCCAGCCUACAGAGUGUUACAGGCCAAGAAAAUGGGGGUCAUGACCAACUCAGUAUACCACUGGAGGCUCUAUCAGUGAAUGGAAAAAUGUUCUCAUGAAAGCAGGAUGUUGGAAAACUGACAACUGCAUCUGCCCCCAGAGGGAGGGCUGAGGGCAGUCAGGCCCUGUUCCUUCUGAUUACCUAUAGAAACAUCUGACGCCUGUUGUAUGAAGAACGCUAUUAUGUGCACCUGUGAUUAAUUAAGCAGCUGACCAACCAUUACCUCUCCCUCCCUGCUCUUUGUCCCUAAUAAAUACGAAGGGCUGUGGAAGCUCAGAGCUGCCUUUGCUCACUAGAAGCGAGGAGCCCCCGACCCCUUCUUUUAAAACAGAUCCUCUUGUCUUUUUACUUCUGCGUUCGGCCGCCUUCGUUCACUCCCGUAGAAACCGUCAGCAAUAGCACAGCGUUCAUCACAUCCAUGUGGGAGCCCUCAGGGACCCUCUUCUUUACUGUGUAGUAAGUAUUUCCUGAACACCUCGUGCCGACCUCACCAGGCACAAGGCACCCGGAAGCCUCCGUGGACAGAACGUGCUCAUGGAGCUGGUGUUCCAUUAACAGGACAGAUGCCUUAGAAGGUCAUCACAAACAGGGACUUUGGACUGCAAGUUGCGGUAAGUUCCAUGAAUGAAACCAACAAGUUGCCAAAUGGAAAGAACCUGAGGAGCUCAGUGUGGACGGGUUAAGCAAUGGCCCCUGGGGGAAGGGAAACUGAAACUGAGACCUGAGCGACUGGAGGC
rnacentral:lncRNA from 1 species